rnacentral:rRNA from 1 species
UACGUAGGGGGCAAGCGUUGUCCGGAAUCAUUGGGCGUAAAGCGCGUGUAGGCGGCCCGGUAAGUCCGCUGUGAAAGUCCAGGGCUCAACCCUGGAAUGCCGGUGGAUACUGUCGGGCUCGAGUCCGGAAGAGGCGAGUGGAAUUCCUGGUGUAGCGGUGAAAUGCGCAGAUAUCAGGAGGAACACCGAUGGCGAAGGCAGCUCGCUGGGACGGUACUG